AGAGAGAGACAUGCGCGCAUAUCAAUAAGCGGAGGAAAAGAAACUAACAAGGAUUCCCCUAGUAACGGCGAGUGAAGCGGGAAGAGCUCAAAUUUGAAAUCUUAAAGGGUUUCCCUUUACGAAUUGUAGUUUAAAGAAGUGUUUUCUGUUGAGGUUUUGGUAAAAGUUCUUUGGAAUAGGACAUCAUAGAGGGUGAGAAUCCCGUAUUUGACCUUUACUUUCAACUUUGUGAUACACUUUCAAAGAGUCGGAUUGUUUGGGAAUGCAGUCCAAAAUGGGUGGUAAAUUUCAUCUAAAGCUAAAUAUUGGCGAGAGACCGAUAGCGAACAAGUACCGUGAGGGAAAGAUGAAAAGAACUUUGAAAAGAGAGUUAAACAGUACGUGAAAUUGUCAAAAGGGAAGCGUUUGACACCAGUGUUGUUUUUCUGAAAAUCAAUUAAAGAACUGUUUAUGCUAAGUUGUUUAGACUUUAUCAGCUAUCUGUUUAGUUUUGAGCUUUUCUUUAAUGCACCUUUUCAGUUAACAAGUCAACAUCAAUUUCUUUUGCUGUAAAAAAGCUUGAGGAAGGUGGCUUGAGAUUCGUCUUAAGUGUUUAUAGCCUCUUGCCUAUGCAGUCGGAGAGAUUGAGGUCUGCAGCGUAGAUCCUUCGGGGCUAAAUGCAUUUGUGCUAAGUUAUAGCAUUUUAUAGACAACUUGUUGACUAUGAUUUGUCUCGUAGCUUACUCGCUUAUGUUAUUUUACCUACGCUUAGGAUGUUGACGCAUGAGAUAUACGC
rnacentral:rRNA from 1 species